UUGAAACAGUCUCGCUGUAGGAGGUCUUGAAACAGUCUCGCUGUAGGAGGUCUUGAAACAGUCUCGCUUUAGGACGUCUUGAAACAGUCUCGCUUUAGGAGGUCUUGGAACAGUCUCGCUUUAGGAGGUCUUGGAACAGUCUCGCUUUAGG